rnacentral:misc_RNA from 1 species
UCAUUGUUUCAAUUUCGCGCCACAUGCCCUUUCAACUCAACAACACCAACGCGAACAGGCAGCCCCAGCAUCAGCUCUACACUCCACUGGCAACUGAACCGAAGUUUACGGACCUACGGGGUGACGAGAAGGAAAAUAAUAUUGAUAAAGUAGAAUAGUAAACAUGAAUUAACGCGGAGCAAUUUAAACCACCCUUCUCAAUGGUAUUUCUUUUCACUAUGUGCGCAGGAGGAACAUUGGCAAGGCACGUCGAAUUUAAUACGUUCUAGAAACUCUGCCUAUGCGAAAGGAAUCUCUGAACUUUAUCCCGGAGCGUCUGUCGAGGAACAAAGACGAUAGAAUUGGCGUUGCAAAUUGCGCUAUUCGUGAGCCAGAGACCUUUACAGUUUCCCCUACCAUGUUGCCCGUCCAUCUCAUCUUCUCAAAGUUCUGAACUACUGAGAGGGAGGAUACGAACGCACCCCAAUUUUGCGAUACGGAUACUGCAUUUCUGUAUAAUAUCGAAUCUUCAAACGCGAAAACGUAUCAUAUCUACUCUUCGCAUGCCUCUGGAUUCUACGUUCUGCAUUUUCAACGCACUAAAUCCACGCAAAAUAUUGUGGUUUCUUCGUUUCAAUCAAGAAAGAAAAAAACAACACAAAAUCAAUAGGAUCUUCAUCGAUCGCAUUCGAAUAUUUAAUUCAAACACAUACUUAGUUUAUUGACUGACUUAUGUCUGAAGUGAAGCACUUUGAAAGGAGACGAAUGAGAAGAUAAAAAACGAAGCAGAAACGAAAAAAUGAAAAAGAAAAAGGAACAAAUCGAAGAUGUCGGUAAGGAGAAUUUUUACGCCACGUCUGUUUGAAAUGGAGAAAUGAAUUGUAAUUUCUGAAAUUAUUAUCAAUGAAAUUUCGCAUGUUCUUAUAG